GACGAACGCUGGCGGCGUGCUUAACACAUGCAAGUCGAACGGAAAGGCCCUGCUUUUGUGGGGUGCUCGAGUGGCGAACGGGUGAGUAACACGUGAGUAACCUGCCCUUGACUUUAGAAUAACUUAAGGAAACUUGGGCUCAUACCGGAUAGGGGCUCCUGCUGCAUGGUGGGUGUUGGAAAGUUUCGCCGGUUGGGGAUGGACUCGCGGCUUAUCCGCUGGUUCGUGGGGUGGUGGCUUACCAAGGCUUUUAAGCGUAGCCGGCCUGAGAGGGUGACCGGCCACACUGGGACUGAGAUACGGCCCAGACUCCUAUGGGAGGCAGCAGUGAGGAAUAUUGCAUAACGGGCGGAAGCCAUACGCAGCCACGCCGUGUGCGGGAUGACGGCCUUCGCGUUGUAAACCGCUUUCGACUCUUACGAAGCGUGAGUGACGGUAAUGGGUAAAGAAGCACCGGCUAACUACGUG
rnacentral:rRNA from 1 species